GACGAACGCUGGCGGCGUGCUUAACACAUGCAAGUCGAACGAUGAACCAGGGCUUGCCCUGGGGAUUAGUGGCGAACGGGUGAGUAACACGUGGGCAACCUGCCCCAGACACCGGGAUAACCAUUCGAAAGAGUGGCUAAUACCGGAUACGACCACUUUGGGCAUCCAACGGUGGUGGACAGGACUCUGGUCUGGGAUGGGCCGGGGGCCUAUCAGCUUGUUGGUGGGGUAAUGGCCUAGCAAGGCGACGACGGGUAGCCGGCCUGGGAGGGCGAGCGGCCACACUGGGGGUGAGACACGUGCCAGACUCCGACGGGAGGCAGCAGUGGGGAAUAUUGCGCAAGUGGCGAAAGCCUGACGCAGCGACGCCGCGUGCGGGACGAAGGUAUUCGGAUUGUAAACCUCUUUCAGCAGGGACGAAGCGAAAGUGACUGUACCUGCGGAAGAAGCACCGGCUAACUACGUGCCAGCAGCCGCCGUAAAAC
rnacentral:rRNA from 1 species